rnacentral:rRNA from 1 species
GUGCCAGCAGCCGCGGUAAAACGUAGGAGGCAAGCGUUAUCCGGAGUUACUGGGCGUAAAGCGCAUGUAGGCGGUUGGACAAGUUGAGUGUGAAAGCUCCCGGCUAAACUGGGAGAGGACAUUCAAGACUGUUCGACUAGAGGAUGGUAGAGGGGCGUAGAAUUCCGGGUGUAGCGGUGAAAUGUGUAGAGAUCCGGAGGAAUACCAGUGGUGAAGACGACGCCCUGGGCCAUUACUGACGCUGAGAUGCGAAAGCGUGGGGAGCGAACGGGAUUAGAUACCCCCGUAGUCC